ensembl:snRNA U6 U6 spliceosomal RNA
GUACUCCCAUUGGCAGCACAUACACUAAUAGAACAAUCCAGAGAUUACAUGGGCCUUGAGCAAGAAUGACACACAAAUCCAUGAAGUGUUCCAUAUAUUU